AACUUGGCCCCUACUAGAAUCAUUCUCGCGGGUACCUUCGUCAAGGUAUCCCACUGAGACCGCCAAGGCUGUUCAAUGACCCAUACCCAUAAACAUGUUUUCACAUCUGACACACAGCCGUUCCUUGGCGUUGGCUGAGUCUCACUCUCACGUGGUGGCCCGAACGUGAGGUGCACUCAAAUCAUACCUCAGGAGAUACUUCACCCAACAUCUCCCCCUGGAGGUAAGUAUAUAAUUGAGUUACCGUGCCCCUCUCAUAGGCAGUCCACGGAAACCCCCACCACUGCAGUGACCGUUUAAUAUACCACCAGACCCAUAAAAAUUCCAGUAGCAUACUAUGGNNN
rnacentral:lncRNA from 1 species